UCACACACACACACUCUUACUCACACACACUCACACACACACACUCUUACUCACACACACUCACACACACACACUCACACUCACACACACACACACACACACACACACACACACACACGCGCGCUCCCUAUGUAGACAGCAUCCGAAGCGCCCUAGAGUUGACACACCUCCACGAACAGCAGAGAUCACAGCAGGAGUGUUGAGAGUCAAUAUCAGAGAUCACAGUCAUCUCCACACAUCACAAUCAUCUUCAUCUUCAUCAAUCAGCUGAAGAGAACGAAUAAAGCUGCUGCUAGCAUUAGCAUCAGAGCACUCAGAGCUCAGCUCGGUCAGGCGCUCAUUUAGAGCGCUAAAGUGCAGCAAUAAAGAGUUUAUUCAUCGUUUACCUGUGCUGUCUGGCUGAUUUCUGGCAGUUUGAAGCGCAACACGGCCGCGACUGACAGGAAAACAAACACAAAUCAGCGUGUGCGUCACUUCCGGGAAAUAAGCGCGUGGAGCAAAAUAAAAGCUCUGACGCGACUGAGCUUUAAAAAUACCUUUUAUUUUAAAAUUACACCUCAGGUGCAGAUAAUAUGUGUGUGUGUGCAUUAAAUAGUAUAAUAAUAAUAAUAAUAAUAAUAUUAACUAACAUUAUCAUGCGCAUUGAAUAAUAAUCAGAAUAUUAAGCCUUUGAAUCUUUGUUUGUUUUUAAAUUACCUUUUUAUUUGUACUCUUUAAGCCCUGAUGAAGCCGAAAUAACAAUUCAAAUAAUAACAUUAUUUAAACGAAAGCAUUGCUGUCUCUGUCUGUCUUCAGGUCUUAACAUGCAAAUGCAUCCGUUGAACUACACCUCCCACAAUGCACCGCGCCCGCCAGCCAGUGCGGGGUUAGAGGGCGCGUCGCCAUGGCAGCGGCUGGUUGUGACAUCAGCGCCAUUUUGCUUGAGUGUUGUGAUGGAAGCAGCGAGAAAAUCAGAAUCCGACGGAAAAACACCGAAAAUCAGACGCGAAUCAGACAAAUUCAGACCAGAGGGAGCCGAUUCGGCGAAUCAGACGGAGUCGCGUCGAGAAUCUGGACUGAAGUCGCUCGGAGGCGGAGCGAUCUGCGAUAACAGACGCCGGACUAGUGAAGAAAAGGCGUAAAGAGGUCUGUCGCCGCAUCAUGUGACGCUUCCCGUCCCUCAUCACCAUGAUCGAUUCCCGUGCGUCCCUGCCUCCGUCUG
ensembl:lncRNA